GCGGAAGCGGUUCAGUUAGAAAUAAAAUUAAAAGGAUUUAAGAACCCUAGAAAAGUUAGAUAUUGGAUUGUAAAGGAAACAGGAUAGAACGUCCCGACCUCUGGGUCGGGAAGGUCGUGGGUUCAAAUCCCAUCUUCCACCCCA
rnacentral:tRNA from 1 species